GAUGAAGAACGUAGUGAAAUGCGAUACUUGGUGUGAAUUGCAGAAUCCCGUGAACCAUCGAGUCUUUGAACGCAAGUUGCGCCCGAAGCCACUAGGCCGAGGGCACGCCUGCCUGGGCGUCACACGUCGUUGCCCCCCCCCCAUCUACUCCUUCGGGAUUGCGGGGGGCGGAUGAUGGCCUCCCGUGCGCCUAGCCGCGCGGUUGGCAUAAAUACCAAGUCCUCGGCGACGCACGCCACGACAAUCGGUGGUUGCGAAACCUCGGUUGCCCGUCGUGUGCGUUCGUCGCGCAUCGAGGGCUCGAAAAAAUGCUCAGCUCCGGCUCGGCUUUCAACGAGACCCCAGGUCAGUCGGGAACACCCGCUGAAUUUAAGCAUAUCAAUAAGCGGAGGA
rnacentral:misc_RNA from 1 species